GGGCGGUUAGCUCAGCUGGUAGAGCAUCGGUUUUACACACCGCAGGUCGGGGGUUCGAACCCCUCACCGCCCACCA
rnacentral:tRNA from 3 species